rnacentral:lncRNA from 1 species
CGACAGUCGAAGCAGAAGGAAAGAAGCUAAAGAAUUCUGAGCAGUUAUACACUGGGAAUAAAGGCAAGUGCAGACACCCUUUGAUCAUAUUGUACCUAUGAACUUUAAAUACAUUUACUUUCCAGUGCAUGUGUCUUAAUACUGCAAACCCUAAGGACAUGACUAGUCUUCUACUAUAUUCCUUGUAUACCUGGGUUUAUAUAUGGGUAGUAUAGUGAACAGUAGAUAUGCUUAGUUGCUCUACUCAUCUAAUCUAUAUAAUAAUAAUAAUAAUGAUCUUGCUUAAUGAAUUCUUCAAUGAUGAUAAAUGAUUAAAUGGUGAACAAUGGUCACUUCGGUGAUGGAGAUGUUGCGGUGCUUGCGAGCAUCGUGGUUUGGUUGAGGACAGGGGGAGCGGGUACUGUUGGUGGUCCGGUUUGUCGGGCGUACCCGUCUCUGCUCUCCGUAAGGACUUAGUCAGGGAGCGGCCCCCUGGGACUUACAGUGCAGCUCCAAGCUAUAUGGCUCUGGCUUGACUAAUUAGCAGGACCUCCACUAGUAGGGUGUUACUUUCCGGGUAGGCGUGAGGAAGUAACUUGGGUAAUGAAUAUUAAGUUGUCGGUUGAUCGGUACGCCAUGGCUAUGGGUAUCGACUGCCGAGCGCCCCGGCAAAAACUUGCGAGUGGCAUCCUAUUAGUUGGACCCUGUGAAAGGUCUCGUAGUGAGACCCCGCCUGCUCACCUUGGAAGUGUUUUGGGGAGUCGCGACCCCGGGCAAAUGGGAAUCACGACUUGGAGUGAACGUGCACACCUCUGCAGAGUGUAAAACUGAUAUAUCAGCCGUGCUCACGGUCACGAGCGGCCCAGACCCUCACUUGAUGAGCAAAUUGGAUUCACUGGAACUUGGAGGCGAAACUUGGUUGAGGUUGCUACCUCGUGCUUUGACGGAAUGGCUAUUCCGUGUUGGCAGGAUUGGUAUCCUGUGUUCUUAAUUGGGAUUGUUAUCCCAUGAUAUUAAUGGGGUUGCUACCCCGAGUUACUAUCCGAGGUUGCUACCUCGGUGAUCUUAAUAAUAAUAGUGAUUAUAAUGAUGACUAAUAAUAUUGCUAAUUAACCUUCAUCUAAAUAAGGGUUGGGAUGCUUUACCCAUAUUUAGUAAUAGAUUGUUUUAAUAAUAGAGUUGUAAUAAAAGUUUACCAACUUAAAAGCUCACCUGCAGUUAAACAGUGUCAGCUUUUCCUUUGAUUAAGCCUUGCAUGUCAUUAUACUUUCCGCCUGUACUUGUUGAGUUCGACAUGAACUCACCCUUGCUAUUUCCCCCACACUCCAGUGUGUAGUAAAGUGCUGCUCAGAAGAAGAACAAAGAUGCUAUGGAGUUUUCUAGAAGUAUAUGAAAAGUGCUUGGCGUACGGAGCCCCCAGUCAACCGUCCCUGAGAAGAAUGGAGCCUAAGACGUUUAGCUUCUGUUUCUGCGUACUCUGAUGUUUGUAAGUGUUAAUAUAAAUAUGUUUUCCGCUAUAUAUAACAUUGUUUCUGAUAUUUCUAUUCUUUUGUUAUAUGUGUGGACUUCCUGGGCACACAUAUGACGACUCUGGUCUUAUUUUAAAUGCCAGGGUGUGACAAACCAUCAACGUAAAGUCAAUCGCCAAGAAAUUGUACAAGGAAUCGAUGAUCACGACAAUGGCCCCUACAAGCGGAUAAGCGGGACCUAAGGUACCUACCAAAUGCAAUCGCCAAACAUUCGCUUGCAAAAAAACAUCUUACAGCAUCGAGACAUCGCAACCUAGCGAUCCCAAAUUGCCAGCACCCUAGCAGUCCGACAAACCACCACAUAGCUACCACUGCUACAGAUUGAUCCUAUCAUCAAUACUUUUAUCACCGCCACCUGUCAGUGAUAGUUAUCACCAAUGGUUUCUAAUACGAACCGCGCCGGUUUGUAAGAAUGUUCGGAUGGAUAAUUAUCACUGCCACUUCGUCUUACCAAUCAGCGGUGAUAGUUCAUCAUUAUGGCCGGUUUGCACCAUCAACCAGCGGUGAUGAAGUGCUCCUCACCACUGCUGCCUCACCAUAUGAACCACCUUUGAAGAUGUUUUUCACCCCAGCUGCGCUUGUACUUGUAUGAUAUAAUGGUGAUAACUUUGCUAUAGCAUAAUAAAACUCGGAUGAAAACAAACUUUAUAUCAAAGUUGUAGAUCUCGACGAUUUUGUAGUUGAUGGAUUUUUCAUUUUAAAUCAUUUAUGGUCCCAG